AGAAGACGGUGAUUCCUCUCCAUUCUCGACCCGGCAGCCAAAGUCUUCAAACUUCCAAAUUUUCAAUCCCACAUAAAAUUUCUACAAAAUUAAGGAACACAUUACCCAAAUCAAAUAUUUCAUCUCUUAAAAGUUAUUUUGCUCCACAGUGGCUUUUGAACUGGACAACUUAUAAGUAUUUUCGGUUUCGAAAUUCAAUGUUAAGUAACUUUAGUUUCUUAGAUUUUAUUACUUGGACCGUCUUUUAUAUAUAUUUUUCGUUAAUAAUUUAAUAUUGAUUAUUGAGUAUGAGUUUUUGAAAAAUCCAAGUUUUUUUUUUGCAAUUCGUUGAAAAUGGCCUAAUGAUUUUUAUUUUUUUUUUUUUUUUUUUUUUUUUUGCAGUUUGUUGAAAUGGCCUGAUGAUUUUUUAUUUUUUUUUAGUUUUUUCAUAGUACUUGAGCAUUUUUCAAAUUUUCUGAUUUGAGAAUUCAAUUUAUAUUAAUUUUGACAGUAGUUUUUCACCUUAGUUAAUUGAAUUAUUUUUAAAUUUCAAAAAUGCAGUAAAUUUUUCACGGCACCCACAGGCAUGUAGGAAGGGGAACUGCAAAGGCUUAAAUAUACUCCAUAGUAAGUAAAUCUCGUUAUCUCCCUACUUGUGGCCUUGUUGGCAAAAUAUUGAAAUUGUUGCCUAUUUAUCUUGUUGGUCAAUAAGUUAAUUAAUUAUUUUUGAAAUGUUGUCUUAUCGGCUUAAUAACUUUUGUUGACAUCUUGCUUUAUCGGUUUAAUGAUUGUUGUUGUUGCCUUGUCGGUCAAUCGGCCCAAUGAAUUAUUUUUGUUGCCUUAUCGGCUUAACGAAUUAUAUUUACUUUUAAAUUUUAGCCCGUACGCUAAAUAUUUCUGGAUCCGCCCUGACUUUGGGUCUAAAUUUUUAUUCUGGGCUUGAAGGGUAUAAUCAUCAUUUAUCAGCUAACCACUUUUGCAAUAUGAUAAAUGAAGAUUGAACAAAUAAUGUUUUUAAAUUUGAAUUUGAAUGUCACUGGGAAUUUUUUUGAGUUCGUAUGUUCAGAUCUUUAUAUCAGAAUUCUAAAGGGUUUCACAAGUUUGAAUAGUUUUACAUAUGUUUUGAUAAUCAGUUAGCUAAUUUGAAAAUAAAAAUCAUAAUAUAUUGGAAUAGACAGUGCUGUGCUGGACUUGAUCAUGUCCCUCCCAGGCCCUGUUGGGCGACAUUUUUGUCAUUAAUGUUUUAGAAUGAAUAGAAAAACAUUAACAUUGAUAGAAUUACUUAGGUGAAGAUACAGCAGCAGUGAAGAAGAAGAGUACAAUUGCUGAUAUAUCAUCCAUUGCUAUUCCCUUUCUCUUCUUCUUCCAUGCAUGGACAGCACACUCCACGAGACGCCUAGCCGAUUUUGCC
rnacentral:lncRNA from 1 species